UUCCAUAACCGGCACUUGGCAAAAUUGCGGAUUUGUUUACAUCGGAAGUGAGCGUACGUGCGCCAGAAUAUGGUAACCCUGAUAAUUGUUGCAACCCACACAGGGAAUUUUCCUGAAGGAGGAAAAGGGAAAUUUUCUGUUUACUUUUCGAACAUUACGGUUGAACUGCCCUUCAAUGAAAGCUUUUGCUCGAUGUGUGGCCUGUAAUAGCAAUAAAUGGGACUUUUGUGAACUGAAAUCUGUUAGGCUUUCCAAAAUCCAGAAAGCUGAUUAGGUGUGCAGAAGCAGCAGACUUGUAAAUGUGAAGGAGCUAUUUGCUUAGUUAUGCAGUAGAAUUCACCACCCUGCGGCAAGCUUCAUUAAAGCUGUGAACAGCCAAGCUAACCAUCUUCAGGGCAAGUAGCUGCAUCAAGCAAACCCAGUGACAUUCCAAAGAGGAAUGUCAGUCAAAAUAAAAACUUAAUACCUAAAUCUCGGAAAAUCAGACAAUUAAGCCACAAAUCUUGUGACCAAUUUUUCAGUUGCUGUGCUUAGUGCGAUAAAAGUUAU
rnacentral:lncRNA from 1 species